GAUGUAGCUCAGUUGGUAGAGUGCUUGCCUCAUAAGCACAAGGCCCUGGGUUCAAUCCCCAGUAAGGUGAAACA